CAUUAGUCACCUCCUCAGUCGGAGAGUGCGAGUUGUCUGCACGAGCGAGGUGAAUAUCCACCAGCAUAUUCCUGUGUCCAGCACCGCCAGUGGAAUGCUCGCCACCAGCAGCUCGCUGCGAUCGGUCUUCACAUUGGUGAUACGCAAGUAGCUCUCCACGCAGGCCAGCACAAAGUAGAGGGUUCCCACGCCCACCACGCGAUGCAGCAUGGGUCCCAAACGGGGUCUGGAAUAGAUUGAGUAAAUUAACGCUUAAGUGGUUCGGUCAAUAGCAGCAACUGCUUUAGACGCUCACUCACUUGACAAUGCCAAAGCCGAGACUCAUGAUGAUGACCAGCAUCCUGGCCAGCGUGCGCUUCGCACAGGACACAAACUCGGCCACCAGUUCGGCGUGCUGAACUGCAACACCCUUGUUCGUCAGCGUUUGGUAUUCGGCGUAGAAGAAGGCCUUCUCUAGCAUUCCCAGCAGUAUGACGCCACCGAUCCAGAAUUGAAUUCUCAAAAGAUCCCGCCAUUGCGCGAAAGAAACAAACAGCCAAAUAAUUCCAAAUAUCACGUAAACAAUGCACAUGAUCAGAUAGAACUGUGGGAAAAUAAACAUAUACAUGAUUAUGUAUAAACAAAGUCAUUUAGAAACACACUCGACCCCUACCGGCAGGAAUGGCCAAUCUAUGGCCGAGAUGAAGCCGUGUGGGCCCAGGAACUCUAUGUGCACCACGGCAC
ensembl:ncRNA asRNA:CR44976 antisense RNA:CR44976